UUACGGGGGGGGACGCGAAGAACCUUACCAGGUCUUGACAUCUCCUGACCGCCCUGGAGACAGGGUCUUCCCUUCGGGGACAGGAUGACAGGUGGUGCAUGGUUGUCGUCAGCUCGUGUCGUGAGAUGUUGGGUUAAGUCCCGCAACGAGCGCAACCCUUGGUUCUAGUUGCCAGCAUUCAGUUGGGCACUCUAGAGCGACUGCCGGCGACAAGUCGGAGGAAGGUGGGGAUGACGUCAAAUCAUCAUGCCCCUUAUGACCUGGGCUACACACGUGCUACAAUGGAUGGUACAAAGGGCAGCGAAGCGGCGACGCAUGAGCGAAUCCCAGAAAACCAUUCUCAGUUCGGAUUGCAGGCUGCAACUCGCCUGCAUGAAGCCGGAAUCGCUAGUAAUCGCGGAUCAGCAUGCCGACGAU
rnacentral:rRNA from 1 species